GCUUGUUCCAGCAGACGGGCCCCAUCCGCUCCUCCCGUCCGAGGGCUGGGAAGAAGGGAUGGAGGCGAACGAACUCUCCCACCCCUCCGGGGCCCCGCGGACGCGCUGCUUCCCAGAAAAUACGGUAAAAAGCCUUCAGCCUAAAAAUAUGCCCUAAACCUUGACGACGACCUAUUUUCCCUUCUGUUGUGCAAAGCUUCUUUCCUAGAAAGCGGCUUUGCAAUUCUCGGUCCAACCAGCCGAGCUCUCCUCAGCGUGUGAGCAGGGAAUCCAGCUCCAAAUGGCUGGCAGGUUUAGCUGAGCUCCAGCACACCCCGAACCCACACGCAGAUGAGCUGGGAGACGUGGUCAGAUGCUACCUGAAGCCGUCCUGUGAGACUGCUGGCUCCGAGGGAGCAGAUGAGCAGCAGUCAGCCUUCGGACCCAGUACUCACAACUCACUUUUCCUUAUUUCUCAUUCAACCGUUUGCUUCUGCUGCAGCAGACAGCAGAGCAAGGAGAAAGCUUUUCUUUCCUGCAAGGAUUUCUCCCCUCUUUCUGCUCUCACUGUUCCUGAGCACAGAAAAUACCUGAUUGUCUUUUUUUUCUUUUGAUUUCCCAUUUCGAAAAAAAGGGAUUAUUUCCUAAAUAAUUCUCCCCACAGUAAUUCCUAGUUUUCAGGGUGACUGCUCCUUUGGCAGAGGGAAAACAAGAAAGAAGAGGAACAAACGUAACAAGAAACAGUGGUAACAAGAGAAACUACUGUUCAAAUUGGCUUCUGCAGAGCACAGUUUGCACCCAGAGCAGCACGGUGCUUUGCUCAUGGCUCCCAUCCUCUUCUCAGCUGCCCCUUUGCCCAAGGGCUCUUAUCCUUGCUGCUUCCCAGUGCCAGAGUCAUGCUUGGGUUGACAGCAGCACAGGUGCUGUCUCCUUCUCUGCUCACUUAAGUUUUCCACUAUUUAUUUUCUUCUCCAUCCCUAACCUACCACCCAAGGUUUUUUUUUAAGUUAACUCAAACUCAGUGCUGAUUUAUUUUAAGGUUUUAAGGCUGUAACCUGAAGCCAGAGACAUAAAAUUAGCCUUGCAAGCUCCAGCUGGCCAGCUGGGAGCACAGGUUAGGGAUUCAUCUGACAGCAGCAAUGGUUUGGGUUGAAGAUUACUGCUUGCUCCCUCCUGCAGCUUGGCAUUGUAGCCAACCCUGCUCUUGUCCAGAUGGAUGAACUGCUCUGUGUGGAAGCAAAACACACGGCGUGAAGCCUGAUGUACCAGGGACAGGGCCUGUUAAUGAAGCAACUCAUGAACCUUCCAACACAUACACAUGCACACACAUGCUUUGUCCAAACAGCUGAAGUCACCAAACUUACCUUUAUUGCCAGGGCCUCCCAGCAUUGUGGUUGUUAUGUCCAUGCUGGAGCAUGGCUGCUAUAUGCAUCCGACCUGCAGAGAUGCUGGAGGAGACCCGGGUCACCCAAAUGCCAGAGAAAUAACACAUUUGUGGUGCAUCAGCACUUUCCUUGGCUGGAGAUAGCAAGAUUGGCUUGGGUUGGAAGAAACCACAGAGACCAUCCAGUUCCAGCUCCCUGCAUGGGCAGGGAUACCUCCCAGUACCUUCAGCCCAGGGGCUUGACCACCUCCAAGAAUAGGUAAUUAUUUCCUGUGAAAUAACAUGAUUCCUAUUGUAACUACACAAGUUAUGCCUGGAAAACCCAAGGAGUCCUUGACUGAAGCUUUUCUUUGAAUUUCAGUAGCCCUGCAAAUAAUUCUCCUAGAUUUGCAGAGGAGUUCUGAACGUGGCAUUAGUCUGAGCU